GGACGAACGCUGGCGGCGUGCCUAAUACAUGCAAGUCGAACGGUCUUUCUAUGGAAGCUUGCUUCCACUGAGAAGAUAGUGGCGAACGGGUGAGUAACACGUGGGUAACCUGCCCAUAAGAGGGGGAUAACAUCCGGAAACGGGUGCUAAUACCGCAUAGUUUUCUUGAUCGCAUGAUCGGGAAAGGAAAGACGGCCUUUGUGCUGUCGCUUAUGGAUGGACCCGCGGCGUAUUAGUUAGUUGGUGAGGUAACGGCUCACCAAGACGAUGAUACGUAGCCGACCUGAGAGGGUGAUCGGCCACAUUGGGACUGAGACACGGCCCAAACUCCUACGGGAGGCAGCAGUAGGGAAUCUUCCGCAAUGGACGAAAGUCUGACGGAGCAACGCCGCGUGAGUGAAGAAAGGUUUUCGGAUCGUAAAACUCUGUUGUCAGAGAAGAACAAGUUGGAGAGUAACUGCUCCAGCCUUGACGGUAUCUGACCAGAAAGCCACGGCUAACUACGUGCCAGCCGCAGC
rnacentral:rRNA from 1 species